CCAGACAGUCCGAUCUCCCGAAAUCGGUCGUUGGUUCUCCUCCGAGUUGACCACGGAUCGCCCCUCCCCCCAUGCUCUCAGCACUGAUGUGUGGCAGGAGUCCUCGCUGGGCAGAAGGCUCCAGGCAGCACCUGCCAAGAGGACAGUGAAGGGGCGCCCUUGGGCUCAUCUGCGCUCUGAUAAGAAGCGUAUCCAGUUUCCAAGUCUAAAGUGAUCCUGGCAAACUCGGUUCUGUGAUUAGAAGUGCACGGAACAUGGAAAACUAUUAAUGAGCAGAGGAACAUCUUGGUGUGUGGCCCGUGCCAGGGGGAGAAUGCAGUGUGCUCUUAAUGAACCUGACCAAGUUACCGCCAAGCUGCCUGCACCCCGAGAUCUCACCAGCUGUGACCUCACGUCGCCCAUCUGAGUGCUUAGGCAGGAGGAGUUUAAGAUAAUUUGAAGUUAUUUGAGAUCCUGUGAAGGCCUGUCUACUUCUGCUUCAUCUUCUUCUUAGGGCAUAACCUAAAGUGAGAAGAAUUUUCCAGCAGCAACACUGCCGCUCGCCUACCCAGCAGGCCCUGGACUCCAAGGCCCAUCCCUCUAAUUCUGAGAGAUUGUCAGAAUUCUCAGUCAGCUUCUCAGUGAUCCCUUGAAGGAUAGGCUCAUGCUACGAGGAAAAAAGCAACUCCCAACUUCAGUUCUACAUCAUUCCUCAGAUCCUGGUCUAUAAAUUUUCACUACCUUGUUAGCUCUCCAUUGCCAUCAGAUAGUUUUUAAUAUCUCGUGUAAUUGUUCUAGCUGUCCUCUGGAAGAUUUGUCCAAAGCGUUUGAUAUUAUUGGAGGCAGAAAUUCCAAACUGAAAAUGUUUAUGCAAGCUUGCCAAGGCAUGACAUUACCAUUAUCAAUAAUUAAUAACAACAAUAAUAAUGAUAAUAGUGAAACCCACCAACUUCUGAAGUUACCUGGAAGAUAACGACACACAGGAAGGAAGACAGUAAGCCUCACAUCUGAGCCACAGCUGCAGACUUAUUUUGAAGCCUUCCUUGUUGUGUCUCCCUGUUUUUUCAUCACAUCUUUUCUGCAUUAUUUUCAUUGUUUCAAAUCCAUAGUUAAUAUUUUCAUCCACCAUGCUAUUAUUUUUGAAUCAUCUUUUCACUUUGAUCAUCUUUAAUCCCCUAAGUUUGAAAUGGUAAAAAUGGAAAUGGACAGGUGGUCUCCUUCCCAUCACCAACCAUGCCUGCCCUGUUUCCUUCUGUUAGAAGCACCACUUCCCCUCUCAAGUGCCCUGGGUCCCAAUUUUUCUCUUUGAUCAUAGGGAACACCAUUGUCUACCCCCAGCCAGUAUGGCUUUCCUGAAGCAGGAGCCACUUCCCAUCAAUGCUAGCUGAAGCCAUAGGAUGGACCACAGCACUGGGAGAGACUACGGAAGUCACGGUAUGGGAUUAUCUCAUCCAAUAAUUAAGGAAACACAUCUGGAAAGGUUAAGAAUAAGAUGUCAUUUCUUACACAGUUGCACUUGGGGGAUGUUUCCAUAUAUUUCAAGACCUGAUAGACACUUCAGGCUCCCAUGGAAGAAUAUUUUUGAGAAGCAAUUGAAGUUCCUCCCAGGUUGCUCAUUUCUCAAGUAUGUGGAGAGUAAAUCCUGUUUCAUCGGGUUCCAGAGGAAGCAUUCGGAGGGAGUUCAUAGCAAAGCUUCCUGUCUGUUGAAAUGACUUCCCAGUGGCAGAAGCUGUAUUGUGGGUUUUGUUGCCACGUCAUCUCUUGGGCACCAUGGCUCUGGCGCUGGCUUUCUGUUGGUACCAGUGGCCCUGGCACAAGGUCUGUGAAGGAGCCUGGCACUUCAGUCCCCUCCUUGAUCCCCGGGAGGCAUUUAGGGUCCAUGUUUUCUGUUGCUUCACCCACAUCCCUGCUGGUACCAGGGUCCACCUCAAAAUACAGUGCUCAGUUCAUUGGAUAGGUAGCUAUU